AAGGGUUGUCAAGGGCCGUAAAUGGGGAAUAUGGAAUUUAUUAGAACCUUAAAAGAAAAAGAGUCAUCAGCACAUUAUAGAAGGUUAAUAGGAAAGGUAAUACAAUUAUCUUGGAUCUGAGUUUCAACAUAUAUCACAUUCUAAAUCUACGAUACAUUUUUGAUUUUCCUGCACAACUUCUGUUUGAAAAAUGGUUUCUUUUGAAGGAUUAUACUCGACCAUAUUCUAAACUCAAAUAUCACAUCGUUUGGACAGAUGGUAGUACAGUAGAGACUAUGUUUUUUUCCAUGAUUUUUUUGUUGGUCGUUAUGUUAUUCCAAGGACAAAAUUGUGGACCACACUUCAUAUGAGAAGUUGGACAUCCGAAUACAACCACUAAUCUAAUAAUUCCUCAAAAGUGUGGUAUCUUGAGAAACCUAUUCCUCAUCAUAAAAAUGUCGUGAGCACUAUUUCAAAUUUAGGUCGUCCCAUGAUACUAGAGGAACUAUAUUGGGGAGACAAAAUUCUGCUUGAAGAUGAGUAUCACUGCAUUCCGAGAUACUAGGAAUGGGCAGAUCAUUUUAUUUAUGAUCAAAACUACAAUAUUAUACAAGCCUUUUGUGAGGAUUGGUUCCCUUGAAAAAAUAUAUUGCUUAUAUUACAUUGGGACUUGCAUAUUCUAUGUGGCUUUCCAAUUUGCAUUCCCUUAUGAAGAAGUGACACAAAACUCCAUAUAACUUACAUGAUUUGAUGACAAGAGGGAAAUAUUUCUGCCUCCAACUUGUGAGUGUCAGUUUGCUGCCUUUCAUCCCUUUAAAGGGGAAAUAAUGGUAAUAUGGGAGUCAGUUGUAAUGAGUUGAUACAAUUUUAUUUCAAGAAAGACAUUAAAUAUGAGCUAUCUCCCCUAAUGAAAGAGAAGAAAUCUUGACGUCUGUCAUAUACUCAUUAUCCAACAUGUGAGAUAACUACUUAGAUAAACAAAAUGGUCAUGUACUCAAGAGAUUAUAUUUUCUAAGAUUUGAAUGAAACACCAACAAUACGAGACUUAUCUUA